GCGGACGAGAUCAUAGAAGAGGUGGAAAAAAUAUUUAUCUGUAGGUGGUUAGGUGAUGGGUCUAACUGCUCAACAGCUUCUGACUCAAUUUACAUUUCAUUUCUGUAGCCAGUUAGCCUACAGUGCAGGAGUCUUGAAAAGAGAGCUCUCCAUCUUUAAGGCACAGCAUGAAACCGCUUUACCAAAAGAGGUGGUACUAGAGCAGCCAGACCAGCAUGCCCUUGG